GACGAUAUCCAGUACAUCGACAGAGAUUUCCUGUUUGGUUGACAGUAAGGAGGAUAUCAGACAUAUAUCAGACUGCAUGUGGUCAUGUAUUACAUUGCAGG